rnacentral:rRNA from 1 species
GCCCAGACUCCUACGGGAGGCAGCAGUGGGGAAUAUUGCACAAUGGGCGAAAGCCUGAUGCAGCAACGCCGCGUGAAGGAAGAAGGGUUUCGGCUCGUAAACUUCUCUUAACAGGGACGAAAGAAAUGACGGUACCUGAAUAAGAAGCCCCGGCUAACUACGUGCCAGCAGCCGCGGUAAUACGUAGGGGGCAAGCGUUAUCCGGAUUUACUGGGUGUAAAGGGAGCGUAGACGGCAUUGCAAGUCCGGAGUGAAAGCCCACGGCCCAACCGUGGGACUGCUCUGGAAACUGUAGAGCUGGAGUGCGGGAGGGGCAGGCGGAAUUCCUAGUGUAGCGGUGAAAUGCGUAGAUAUUAGGAGGAACACCGGCGGCGAAGGCGGCCUGCUGGACCGUAACUGACGUUGAGGCUCGAAAGCGUGGGGAGCAAACAGGAUUAGAUACCCUAGUA